rnacentral:rRNA from 1 species
CCUACGGGCGGCAGCAGUGAGGAAUAUUGGUCAAUGGACGAGAGUCUGAACCAGCCAAGUAGCGUGAAGGAUGACUGCCCUAUGGGUUGUAAACUUCUUUUAUAUGGGAAUAAAACGUUCCACGUGUGGGAUUUUGUAUGUACCCUAUGAAUAAGGAUCGGCUAACUCCGUGCCAGCAGCCGCGGUAAUACGGAGGAUCCGAGCGUUAUCCGGAUUUAUUGGGUUUAAAGGGAGCGUAGGUGGAUUGUUAAGUCAGUUGUGAAAGUUUGCGGCUCAACCGUAAAAUUGCAGUUGAAACUGGCAGUCUUGAGUACAGUAGAGGUAGGCGGAAUUCGUGGUGUAGCGGUGAAAUGCUUAGAUAUCACGAAGAACUCCGAUUGCGAAGGCAGUUCACUGGACUGCAACUGACACUGAGGCUCGAAAGUGUGGGUAUCAAACAGGAUUAGAUACCCCUGUAGUC